GCUUGGGAAUAUGCCUUGAGGUGGGGGACAACAGUUGGAAACGACUGCUAAUACCGCAUAAUGUCUACGGACCAAAGGAGGGGAUCUCUUCGGGAACCUUUCGCCUUUAGAUUAGCCCAAGUGAGAUUAGCUAGAUGGUGGGGUAAUGGCCUACCAUGGCGACGAUCUCUAGCUGGUUUGAGAGGAUGAUCAGCCACACUUGGGACUUGAGACACGGCCCAGACUCCUACGGGAGGCAGCAGUGGGGAAUAUUGCACAAUGGGCGAAAGCCUGAUGCAGCCAUGCCGCGUGUGUGAAGAA
rnacentral:rRNA from 1 species